rnacentral:misc_RNA from 1 species
CAACCCUCAAGCAAUGCUUGGUAUUGGGCUCCGCUGCUCAUCUAGCGGGCCCUAAAAUCAGUGGCAGUGCCGUCUUGGCCCUGAGCGUAGUAAAUAUCCUCGCUAUAGGGACUCGGUGGACGCUGGCCAUCAACCCCCAACUCUCUAA